rnacentral:misc_RNA from 1 species
GGGUUAUUUGCAGAGUUUUCCAAAAGAGCUCUGGAGGAAAGAAAACUCAUAUUGCAGGGUUGGUGAGGAUGAGUUCAUAUGGAAAUGAAUUAAGGCCAUCAUAUUUAUUGCCUCCAUUGAUGGAUUCUUCUCCACAUAACAGUGAGACAUGGACUUCCGAGGACAAUACUUCUCACGUGACCUGCUUCUCCAAGCCAAUGGAGGACCAAAAAGCCAAAGAAGACAUGUUUGAUAGCUUCGACAAUACUUCUUUUCUCUUGGCUUCUACGUCUUCUUCCUCCCCUUCUUCCUCAGUUCUGUUUUCAAAAACCUCUCUUCCAAACUCUUACUAUUCCUCUCAAAUUUCACCAAGUUUCGCAAACUUGCAGUACCCAAAUUCUGCUCUGAUGCCAGAACAGUCCAUCUUGAAGAUGAUGCUUGAAAACCAAGGACCAAACAUGAAGCAGGACUCCAAAAUGGAGCCUUCAUUUAGCCCGGAUAUAUCUUCUUUGGUAAUCAACC